AGUGAACGCUGGCGGUAGGCCUAACACAUGCAAGUCGAACGGCAGCACAGUAAGAGCUUGCUCUUACGGGUGGCGAGUGGCGGACGGGUGAGGAAUACAUCGGAAUCUACUUUUUCGUGGGGGAUAACGUAGGGAAACUUACGCUAAUACCGCAUACGACCUACGGGUGAAAGCAGGGGAUCUUCGGACCUUGCGCGAUUGAAUGAGCCGAUGUCGGAUUAGCUAGUUGGCGGGGUAAAGGCCCACCAAGGCGACGAUCCGUAGCUGGUCUGAGAGGAUGAACAGCCACACUGGAACUGGGACACGGUCCAGACUCCUACGGGAGGCAGCAGUGGGGAAUAUUGGACAAUGGGCGCAAGCCUGAUCCAGCCAUACCGCGUGGGUGAAGAAGGCCUUCGGGUUGUAAAACCCUUUUGUUGGGAAAGAAAAGCAGCAGGUUAAUACCCCGCUGUUCUGACGGUACCCAAAGAAUAAGCGCCGGCUAACUUCGUGC
rnacentral:rRNA from 1 species